AUUCAUGUAGACAUCUUUGAAUAUAUACAGGGAUCAUUAAUCUCCCUAGCUCCUUUAUUUGGAAUCUCUCUUCCAAAACAAAAAUCAGUGGCCCAUGUGGGUUGGUUAACAACUGUAAAAAACUUUGAAAUUUUUUUACCAUGAAGACAUGGACAUGUAUGAAAGCGACAUUAAUUGGGCAGGCACUGGAAGACAUAAUUAUUGAAGGGGAUCUAAAGAAAAAGGUAGUUUUCACUCCAUCAAUCCCAAGCCUCUACCCUGAAUUCACUCUUAUCUUCCUUUUUGCCUCUUUUUGUCAUCUGAUCUGGAAAGAAGAGAGUGGAUUCUUAUUUUAGUAAUGGAAAGAUGGGACUCCUCAUUCUCAGAUGGGGUCUAUGACAACAGAGCCAACAAGACAUUACCACAGCAAGUUCAGCAGGUAUGCUUAAGAGGCCCAUACUGGAGAUGGAGAUGAUUUUAAGCUGGGUGUCAUUUGGAUCUCUGUUAUCAGGCAAGUGAAGCCAUGUUGUUUUUGUGCUUAGCCCUGGUUGCAAAAAGAUUGUCCUUCUCUUCUUAUAUUACUCAUAUGACAAAGCAAAUUUCGAGUUUCACCUCUCCAAUCCCCUACGAAAAGAAAAAGGUCUGGGGACCUACAUUUACAAAUAAUAAGGUUGUUACCUAGAAAGUAUGCCAAAGUAUCAUUUGCAAGAUUAUAUAUAUAUUUUUAGCCACAAAGCAUUCUUGCUCAAUCAUGUUUAUUACCCCAUAUUCUGCAUGUAUACAUGUGUAUUUUUUUGUCUGAAUAGAAAGGGAGGUUUCUUUGUCCUAA